GUCUAACACAUGCAAGUCGAACGCGAAAAUCCCGAAAGGGAUUAGUAGAAGUGUGCAAACGGGUGUAGUAAACGUCGAUGUGGUGACCUGCCUUCGACGUGGGGGAUAACGUUCCGAAAGGGUACUGCUAAUACCGCAUAACAUGCUGUCCUUUAAGAGAUGGACAUCAAAGCCUGGGACCGCAUUAGGCCAGGCGCUUGAAGAGUGGGCCCAGCCGUCUGAUUAGCUAGUUGGUGGGGUAAUGGCUCACCAAGGCAACGAUCAGUAUCCGGCCUGAGAGGGCGGACUGGACAACACUGGGACUGAGACACGGCCCAGACUCCUACGGGAGGCAGCAGUGGGGAAUUGUUCGCAAUGGGCGCAAGCCUGACUGACGCAACGCCGCGUUGGAGGAUGAAGAUUUUCGGAUCGUAAACUCCUUUCGGAUCGAGACGAAUGGUUCCGGGGUUAACAGGCCCGGGAGAAUGACGGUACCGGAGAGAAGA
rnacentral:rRNA from 1 species